AACUGGGGCACUUAAUUUUUAUUAGCUAAACGAGGAGCAAGACUCUGCUCUCCGUUUAAUUGGAUCUGGGUUUACCCAGGGAUUCUUUUCCUAUUAUUCAAGUAAGAGCUGCAAGUGGUGCUCACGCCUGCAAUCUCAGCAGGCAUGGGAAAGACAGAGGCUGCCGGGUGGAGGCUGCAGGUGGAUGCCUCCGAUCCUCCAACUGUCCUUCACGUAGAAGGGCUUUUUCUACAACCCGUCCGCGUCUGUGUGUGUCACACGGAGAAGUGUUGGCCAACCGGUCCAUCGCUGAACUCUCCUCCAGGAGUCACUUUUCAAGUGCCUGGUCGCACUGAUUCCGCUCCUCUAAACAUGCGUCCAAGACCCAGAAAGAGAACCUUUUGGAUCCAUUUAUACAACGGAGGACUGCUUCCCCGGACAUACUCCGACCGAAAGUGGGCACCUAACGUGAUUUCAGAAACCUACUUUGUGUAGGGGUGAAAAUGAGAAGAUGAGGUUGGCAGCUCU